UACGUAGGGUGCGAGCGUUAAUCGGAAUUACUGGGCGUAAAGCGUGCGCAGGCGGUUUUGUAAGCCAGAUGUGAAAUCCCCGGGCUUAACCUGGGAAUGGCAUUUGGGACUGCAAGGCUUGAGUGCGGCAGAGGAGACUGGAAUUCCUGGUGUAGCAGUGAAAUGCGUAGAUAUCAGGAGGAAUACCGAGUGGCGAAGGCAGGUCUCUGGGCUGACACUGACGCUCAUGCACGAAAGCGUGGGGAGCAAACAGG
rnacentral:rRNA from 1 species